CUCCAUUGAUACCAAGCCUAUGUCCAACUUAGGGAAGAGGAAGAGGUACAUGACUGAUGAAGAUGUUGUUGUGUUCAAUGGGAUGAAAGAGGCUGUAUCUGAUGUUGCUGCUGCUGUCCGUGAAAGCAUCCAUGCUGAAGCAGCACCUGGGAUCUACAAUGUUGUAAUCAACUGUCCUGGGUUCUCUAGGGAGGCUCUCAUGUAUGCCCUAAACCACAUGAUGGAGCACAAGGCCACCUCCCUGGUGUUCCUGGACAUGACUCCUGAUGAUCGUGACCUAUGGCUCAAGACUUUCCUAGCCAAGCACUACCACAACUGAUGUAU
rnacentral:misc_RNA from 1 species